rnacentral:rRNA from 1 species
AAUCAACGCUGGCGGCGUGCCUAACACAUGCAAGUCGAACGCGAAAGCCCCGCAAGGGGUAAGUAGAGUGGCAAACGGGUGAGUAACACGUGGGUGACCUGCCUUCGAGUGGGGGAUAACGUCCCGAAAGGGACGCUAAUACCGCAUGACAUCCUGCUUUUGAAAAAGCGGAGAUCAAAGCUGGGGAUCGCAAGACCUAGCGCUUGAAGAGGGGCCCGCGCCUGAUUAGCUAGUUGGUGAGGUAACGGCUCACCAAGGCGACGAUCAGUAUCCGGCCUGAGAGGCGGACGGACACACUGGGACUGAGACACGGCCCAGACUCCUACGGGAGGCAGCAGGGGGGAAUUGUUCGCAAUGGGCGCAAGCCUGACGACGCAACGCCGCGUGGAGGACGAAGAUCUUCGGGUCGUAAACUCCGGUCGAGCGGGACGAACGCUUCGCGGAUGAAUAAUCCGCGGAAUUGACGGUACCGCUAAAGGAAGCCCCGGCUAACUCCGUG